rnacentral:rRNA from 1 species
CAAUAGCGUAUAUUAAAGUUGUUGCGGUUAAAAAGCUCGUAGUUGGAUUUCUGCUGAGAACGACCGGUCCGCCCUCUGGGUGUGUAUCUGGCUCUUUCUUGGCAUCUUCUUGGUGAACGUUGCUGCACUUGACUGUGUGGAGCGCUACCCAGGACUUUUACUUUGAGGAAAUUAGAGUGUUUCAAGCAGGCAUACGCCUUGAAUACAUUAGCAUGGAAUAAUAAGAUAGGACCUCGGUUCUAUUUUGUUGGUUUCUAGAGCUGAGGUAAUGAUUAAUAGGGAUAGUUGGGGGCAUUCGUAUUUAACUGUCAGAGGUGAAAUUCUUGGAUUACUGCACGACGAACUACUGCGAAAGCAUUUGCCAAGGAUGUUUUCAUUGA